UGUGAGGCAGUGCUGCAAUGUGCUCCUGGGAUACCCGACAGAUAUUUUUUGGAGCCGGCACCAAACUCGUCGUGGAACCACAAAGCCAGCCUCCUGUCAAACCAUCCGUUUUCAUCAUGCGAAAUGGGACGACGGUUGCUUGUCUGGUGAAGGAUUUCUACCCUAAGGAUAUAGACAUAAAACUCGAAUCAACCAAGAAACUAGAAGAAUUUGACCCUGCUAUUGUCGUCACUCCCAGUGGGAAGUACAGUGCUGUCAAGCUUGGUCGGUAUGAAGAUCCAACUACAGUGACCUGUUCUGUUCAACACAACAGUGAAGUCGUGAGCUCCACUAACUUUGAACCAAAGACAAAAACUUCAAGUACUAUAAAACCAAAACCAACGGAAACUGAAAACAUAAAGCUAACUCCACAGAAGAUCAUUAAGCCUAAAGCCACAGUUCAUCACAGUUCACAGUUCACAGCCAGGAAUGUGAACAUGCUGUCCCUCACAGUGCUGGGGCUCCGGAUGGUGUUUGCCAAGAGUCUUGCCAUCAAUUUUCUCUUGACUGCCAAGUUAUUUUUCUUUUAAGACUGACUGGCAUGAGAAGGCUGCCUUAUGAGACUCCCACAUUAUGUCUCCACAAAAACCUACAGAGGACCUGUCUCCUAGACUUCUGGCUUCUUGGUGAUUCAAGGUGACUGAUCCCAGCCUUGCUUAAAUGGCUGCUACGCAAGCCAUCGAAGGCAACAAACAGCUCGUUUUCUGGCCUGGUGGAAAGACAAAGUCCUAGGGAGUAAGGCAUAUGGUCCUAACUGCUCUAUCUGCUGCUUUAUAAAGGGAUUUAGGACUCAUUUUUUUUUAAUUUCUACAACAGAUACACUUUGAAAAUAGUGUUUUGUUUUGACUUUCUUUGCCUUCAGAAGUAGAAAGUGGGAGCCAACAGAUUCCCAGCUGCAUACUCCCAGAUGAAAAUAGACCCUGGGGGACGGAGAGCAGAUGCCCUUCACCUAACAGGAAUGGCUUCAUUCAGCCCAGCACUAGGUUUGCCUUAAGCUGGCACUCUCAUCCAAAAAAGCACUUUCUGCUUUUCUUAGUACUUUACAAACAAAAUUACAUUUGACUUUUCAUGCAACCAAUGGGGUUUCUAAAGCCUCAUCUAAAUACUCUCCAAGCUCUUAGCAAAGAUCAGGGUAAAAUGCAGAGAAAACUGCUUUUAUUAACUGACUUAACAAACAUGAAUUGACUCCUUCUAAGUUCUAGGCACUGAGCUGAGGGUGUAAAGAUGAAUGAGAGGUGGGCCUGCUUUCAAGCAACUCACUGGGCCAAGUGUUUUUGCAGGGAGGGAUAGGAAUGACUCUUAGAUUUGGGCUAUAAAAAGAGUAUCUUUACUGGGUUUUGCCUGCCAAUCUAUACACAGGGAAUUUGAGGUCAGUGGAUGCUGAAUCUUGCCUGCCCCUCAUUGUUGACGGUUUUCUGCCAUUCCCAGUGCUGUCUCUGUUGCAUUUAUUAAAGUGCAUUGAGUGUG